GAUCUGGAGGAAUACCGGUGGCGAAGCGGCCCCCUGGACGAAGACUGACUCUCAGUGCGAAAGCGUGGGGAGCAACAGGAUUAGAUACCCCUGGUAGUCCACGCCGUAAAACGAUGUCGACUUUGGAGGUGCGCCUUUUGAAGGCGUGGCUUCCGGAGCUUAACGCGUUAAGUCGACCGCCUGGGGAGUACGGCCGCAAGGUUAAAACUCAAAUGAAUUGACGGGGGCCCGCACAAGCGGUGGAGCAUGUGGUUUAAUUCGAUGCAACGCGAAGAACCUUACCUGGUCUUGACAUCCACGGAAGUUUUCAGAGAUGAGAAUGUGCCUUCGGGAACCGUGAGACAGGUGCUGCAUGGCUGUCGUCAGCUCGUGUUGUGAAAUGUUGGGUUAAGUCCCGCAACGAGCGCAACCCUUAUCCUUUGUUGCCAGCGGUCCGGCCGGGAACUCAAAGGAGACUGCCAGUGAUAAACUGGAGGAAGGUGGGGAUGACGUCAAGUCAUCAUGGCCCUUACGACCAGGGCUACACACGUGCUACAAUGGCGCAUACAAAGAGAAGCGACCUCGCGAGAGCAAGCGGACCUCAUAAAGUGCGUCGUAGUCCGGACUGGAGUCUGCAACUCGACUCCAUGAAGUCGGAAUCGCUAGUAAUCGUGGAUCAGAAUGCCACGGUGAAUACGUUCCCGGGCCUUGUACACACCGCCCGUCACACCAUGGGAGUGGGUUGCAAAAGAAGUAGGUAGCUUAACCUUCGGGAGGGCGCUUACCACUUUUGCGAUUCAUGACUGGGGUGAAGUCCUAACAAGGUAGC
rnacentral:rRNA from 1 species